UGUAGGCGGUGGAUUAAGUUCUGCUGCCUAUGUUUUAAUACACACCCCUGAAGUUUAUAGAAUGUCAUUGUAGACCUUUAUUGGCCGAAACAUAAUACAACUUUCAACAAUGGAUCUCUUGGUUCUCGCAUCGAUGAAGAACGCAGCGAAUUGCGAUAUGUAAUGUGAAUUGCAGAAUUCAGUGAAUCAUCGAAUCUUUGAACGCAUCUUGCGCCCUUUGGUAUUCCGAAGGGCAUGCCUGUUUGAGUGUCAUUAAAUUCUCAACUUCAAAAGCUUAUGUUUUUGAUAGCUUGGAUGUUGGAGGCUUGCAGGCUUUAUUGUCAGCUCCUCUCAAAUGCAUUAGCAGAACUUUAAAAGGAUCAGCUUUGGUUUGAUAAUCCUAUCUAUGCCAUCGCUGAUACAAAUUGUAGUUCAGCUUAUAAUCGUCUUAGGACUGUCUCGCAAGAGGCAUUAUUUAAACUUGACCUCAAAUCAGGUAGGACUACCCGCUGAACUUAAGCAUAUCAAUAAGCGGGGGAAAAGAAACUAACAAGGAUUCCCCUAGUAACGGCGAGUGAAGAGG
rnacentral:rRNA from 1 species